AUGGCGUUUGCGGUCUCCGACGAGCUGCUGGGCACAUUCGUGCCGAUUGCGGUGUACUGGCUCUAUUCGGGGCUGUACAUCGUGAUGGACAGGAUGGAGAUUGACGACUACCGGCUCCACCCCAAAGGGGAGGAGGAGGUGAAGAACGUCGUCUCCAAGUGGACGGUCGUCAAGGGUGUCCUUGUGCAGCAGGGGUUUCAGAUUGCGGUCUCACUUCUCCUGUUCACGAUCAUUGGUGAUGACAGCGGUACUGUGAGAAAGCAGCCUCCCGCCCUGGUGAUAGCACUGCAAUUUAUCAUCGCAAUGUUUGUUAUGGACACAUGGCAGUACUUCAUGCACAGAUACAUGCACAUCAACAAGUUCUUGUACAAGCAUAUCCACUCGAAGCAUCACACUCUUGUGGUUCCAUACGCGUUUGGCGCUCUUUACAACCAUCCCCUCGAGGGCCUCAUUUUGGACACGAUUGGUGGCGCCCUCUCGUUCCUCGUCGCCGGAAUGACUCCUAGGACGUCCAUAUUCUUCUUCUCAUUCGCAACCAUCAAGACCGUCGACGAUCACUGCGGCCUGUGGCUUCCUGGGAAUAUCCUCCACAUGCUGUUCAGCAACAACAGCGCUUACCAUGACAUCCACCACCAGCUCUACGGCAACAAGUACAACUUCUCGCAGCCGUUCUUCGUCAUGUGGGACAAGAUCCUCGGGACCUACAUGCCAUACACUCUGGAGGAGCGCAAGGGAGGAGGUUUGGAGGCGCGCCCUGUUAAUCUCGGACUCGCAGCGCAGAGCAAGUCUGACUAA
rnacentral:rRNA from 1 species